rnacentral:rRNA from 1 species
UACGAAGGGGGCUAGCGUUGCUCGGAAUGACUGGGCGUAAAGGGCGCGUAGGCGGAUGGCACAGUCAGAUGUGAAAUUCCCGGGCUUAACCUGGGGGCUGCAUUUGAUACGUGUUGUCUAGAGUGAGGAAGAGGGUUGUGGAAUUCCCAGUGUAGAGGUGAAAUUCGUAGAUAUUGGGAAGAACACCGGUGGCGAAGGCGGCAACCUGGUCCUUGACUGACGCUGAGGCGCGAAAGCGUGGGGAGCAAACAGGAUAGAU